GACGAACGCUGGCGGCGUGCUUAACACAUGCAAGUCGAACGGAAAGGCCCUGCUUUUGUUGGGUGCUCGAGUGGCGAACGGGUGAGUAACACGUGAGUAACCUGCCCUUGACUUUGGGAUAACUUCAGGAAACUGGGGCUAAUACCGGAUAGGAUCUCCUGCUGCGUGGGGGGGGUUGGAAAGUUUCGGCGGUUGGGGAUGGACUCGCGGCUUAUCAGCUGGUUGGUGGGGUAGUUGCUUACCAAGGCUUUGACGGGUAGGCGGCCUGAGAGGGUGACCGGCCACCUUGCGACUGAGAGACGGACCAGAAUCCUACGGGCGGCAGCAGUGGGGAAUAUUACAGAAUGGGCGGAAGCCUGAUGCAACAACGCCGCGUGCGGGAUGACGGCCUUCGGGUUGUAAACCGCUUUCGCAUGUGACGAAGAGUGAGUGACGGUAAUGGGUAAAGAAGCACCGGCUAACUACGUG
rnacentral:rRNA from 1 species